rnacentral:rRNA from 1 species
GAUGAACGCUGGCGGCGUACUUAACACAUGCAAGUCGAACGAAGCACUUUACUUGAUCUUUUCGGAGUGAUUGUUUUGUGACUGAGUGGCGGACGGGUGAGUAACGCGUGGGUAACCUGCCUCACACAGGGGGAUAACAGUUGGAAACGGCUGCUAAUACCGCAUAAGCGCACAGUACCGCAUGGUACGGUGUGAAAAACUCCGGUGGUGUGAGAUGGACCCGCGUCUGAUUAGCUAGUUGGCAGGGUAACGGCCUACCAAGGCGACGAUCAGUAGCCGACCUGAGAGGGUGACCGGCCACAUUGGGACUGAGACACGGCCCAAACUCCUACGGGAGGCAGCAGUGGGGAAUAUUGCACAAUGGGGGAAACCCUGAUGCAGCGACGCCGCGUGAGCGAAGAAGUAUUUCGGUAUGUAAAGCUCUAUCAGCAGGGAAGAAGAAAUGACGGUACCUGACUAAGAAGCACCGGCUAAAUACGUGCCAGCCGCCGCAGUAAAAC